rnacentral:lncRNA from 1 species
AGUCUCUCUGCCCUAGAUGUCCUAGUUUCCUUUGAAAUACCCUCCACCCUCCGGAGAAUUUCAAAGGAGAUGCAGCUUCUUCUCCCCACCAUAGAUAGCCCAAGGGUGAAGCAAUUCCGUGAUUCUGCAAUUCCAAGACCACUUUAUUGUUAAUUGGUCACCCGUGUGUUAACUGACAUUCUCCAUUUUCUACCUCUACAUCAGUCCUUCCUUUUUAUUUGCAGCUAAGAACGUCUCUCUCAAUCAGUUAUAAAGUACUUUCCCAAAUGGUUUCUGCAGUGCUCUAUACCCAAUAAGAGUUCAAGAAAUCCAACUGAUCCAUUUCUACCCAUGAAGAGAAAGUGGAAAGCAAAGGAUUCGAGGCUGGGCCAGGUUUAUCCUUAGAGGACAAACUGACUUUUAUUAGUUUACAAUAUGGAUCUGUCAAGAGAACUUCACUACCCAAUUUAUUCUCCAGCCUACAUAUACCCCAUACUAUGUUUGUUUUCCCCUUUCCCGGGCUCCACAUUCCAGAAAGACACUGGAUUUGGAGUUGUGCCAGCCUAAGAAAAAGAGGAGCUGAAGAUGUCCCUGGUUAAAAAGACUUCAAGCUCACCGUGGACAGGGUAUGCGUCUCUUCAUCGCCGUAGCGUUCUCUUCCCUUCAUCGCCCUGUGCGGCCAGCGAUCAUCUUUGUUGUGAGAAGGUGAAGUUUUCACCCUCCGAAGCAGUGAUAAGCCGGAGGAAGACCAUCUUUCCUUCCGGAAUCCCCGUUGGAUGUUUGGGCAACAGAUGGUAGCU